rnacentral:rRNA from 1 species
AUUGAACGCUGGCGGAGUGCUUUACACAUGCAAGUCGAACGGCAGCACGGACUUCGGUCUGGUGGCGAGUGGCGAACGGGUGAGUAAUACAUCGGAACGUGCCCAGUCGUGGGGGAUAACGUAGCGAAAGCUACGCUAAUACCGCAUACGAUCUAAGGAUGAAAGCGGGGGAUCGCAAGACCCCGCGCGAUUGGAGCGGCCGAUGGCAGAUUAGGUAGUUGGUGGGGUAAGGCUCACCAAGCCGACGAUCUGUAGCUGGUCUGAGAGGACGACCAGCCGCACUGGGACUGAGACACGGCCCAGACUCCUACGGGAGGCAGCAGUGGGGAAUUUUGGACAAGGGGCGCAAGCCUGAUCCAGCCAUUCCGCGUGCAGGAUGAAGGCCCUCGGGUUGUAAACUGCUUUUGUACGGAACGAAAAGGCUCUGGUUAAUACCUGGGGCUCAUGACGGUACCGUAAGAAUAAGCACCGGCUAACUACGUGCCAGCCGCCGCAGUAA